CCUACGGGAGGCAGCAGUGGGGAAUAUUGCACAAUGGGGGAAACCCUGAUGCAGCAACGCCGCGUGAAGGAAGACGGUUUUCGGAUUGUAAACUUCUGUCCGCAGUGAAGAAGAAUGACGUUACUUAAUAAGCAAGCCACGGCUAACUACGUGCCAGCAGCCGCGGUAAUACGUAGGUGGCAAGCGUUGUCCGGAAUUACUGGGUGUAAAGGGAGCGCGGGCGGGAGGCCAAGUCAGCUGUGAAAGCUACGGGCUUAACUUGUAGACUGCAGUUGAAACUGGUUUGCUUGAGUGAAGUAGGGGUUGGCGGAAUUCCUAGUGUAGCGGUGAAAUGCGUAGAUAUUCGGAGGAACACCAGUGGCGAAGGCGGCCAACUGGACUUUAACUGACGCUGAGGCUCGAAAGUGUGGGGAGCAAACAGGAUUAGAUACCCUGGUAGUC
rnacentral:rRNA from 1 species